AGUCCCCACCCCAAAGCCCUCUCCUCUUGCCACCAGCCCUGACUCUGCCCUUGGUCUGCUGCAGCUCCAGAAGUGCUGGCCCAGAAACCCUACAGCAAGGCUGUGGAUUGCUGGUCCAUCGGCGUCAUCACCUACAUAUUGCUCUGUGGGUACCCCCCAUUCUAUGAAGAAACGGAGUCUAAGCUUUUCGAGAAGAUCAAGGAGGGCUACUAUGAGUUUGAGUCUCCAUUCUGGGAUGACAUUUCUGAGUCAGCCAAGGACUUUAUUUGCCACUUGCUUGAGAAGGAUCCGAAUGAGCGGUACACCUGUGAGAAGGCCUUGAGUCAUCCCUGGAUUGACGGGAACACAGCCCUCCACCGGGACAUCUACCCAUCAGUCAGCCUCCAGAUCCAGAAGAACUUUGCUAAGAGCAAGUGGAGGCAAGCCUUCAACGCAGCAGCUGUGGUGCACCACAUGAGGAAGCUACACAUGAACCUGCACAGCCCAGGCGUCCGCCCAGAGGUGGAGAACAGGCUGCCUGAAACUCAAGCCUCAGAAACCUCUAGACCCAGCUCCCCUGAGAUCACCAUCACC
rnacentral:sRNA from 1 species